AGUGAACGCUGGCGGUAGGCCUAACAUAUGCAAGUCGAACGGCAGCACAGUAAGAGCUUGCUCUUACGGGUGGCGAGUGGCGGACGGGUGAGGAAUACAUCGGAAUCUACUUUUUCGUGGGGGAUAACGUAGGGAAACUUACGCUAAUACCGCAUACGACCUACGGGUGAAAGCAGUGGAUCUUCGGACCUUGCGCGAUUGAAUGAGCCGAUGUCGGAUUAGCUAGUUGGCGGGGUAAAGGCCCACCAAGGCGACGAUCCGUAGCUGGUCUGAGAGGAUGAUCGGCCACACUGGAACUGGGACACGGUCCAGACUCCUACGGGAGGCAGCAGUGGGGAAUAUUGGACAAUGGGCGCAAGCCUGAUCCAGCCAUACCGCGUGGGUGAAGAAGGCCUUCGGGUUGUAAAGCCCUUUUGUUGGGAAAGAAAAGCAGCAGGUUAAUACCCCGCUGUUCUGACGGUACCCAAAGAAUAAGCACCGGCUAACUUCGUG
rnacentral:rRNA from 1 species